GGGUGUUGUAUUACUGAAGGAUUGAAUUAUAUGAUAACUUACCAUUGAAGGAUAUUUUUGAUAUUUUCAUUAAAUUUUAUCUCUUUCGGAUAGUCAUGAGAUAUUGUUAGACGUCAAUCUUAACUUGUGGACUCACAAGAAUUAAAUGAGUUUAAUUCAAAAAUUAAUUAGAAAAAGUUACUGUUUAAUUGGUGCAUUUGGGUUAACUUAAUUCAAUUGAAUUGAUUUAGACCAUGAGCCUAAGUCCACUACUGG
rnacentral:lncRNA from 1 species